GGCUGGUCCGCGAGAGACAGGCAGGGAAGUAACACGCACGCGCCGGGAGAGAGGCAUAGCUGCUGCUGCUGCUGCCGUCGUCUUUUUCCGACUCUUACCUGAGAGGUCACAUCCCUUAAAGUUAGGCUACUAUGGUGAAAGCACUGAGAUGGGAGAGGUUUCCUCCCACCAACAUGAUGAGGAUGAAAAUACCACACACACCCCAGCUGAUUUGCAUCCAUCAGUGCAAGAAGCAGAUCAGAUGUCUAUUCCUUUAACGAGGGAUGCCUCUAGUAUGAUGUUGAACUCCUGCAAAGUCUGCAACACACGAAUCAAGGAAUUCACUAAAGUAUGAUCCUUUAUGAGUGCUGUGUCUUCAUACAUCUGAGUUGUGAUGGGACAGUCUGCCAGUAAGGCAAUCCAAUGGUGUAAGAGGUGAUCUCUGCAAGGGAAAAUUUUAGAAUUCCAA